rnacentral:rRNA from 2 species
UGGAAACAGAUGCUAAUACCGCAUAACAACUUGGACCGCAUGGUCCGAGUUUGAAAGAUGGCUUCGGCUAUCACUUUUGGAUGGUCCCGCGGCGUAUUAGCUAGAUGGUGAGGUAACGGCUCACCAUGGCAAUGAUACGUAGCCGACCUGAGAGGGUAAUCGGCCACAUUGGGACUGAGACACGGCCCAAACUCCUACGGGAGGCAGCAGUAGGGAAUCUUCCACAAUGGACGAAAGUCUGAUGGAGCAACGCCGCGUGAGUGAAGAAGGGUUUCGGCUCGUAAAACUCUGUUGUUAAAGAAGAACAUAUCUGAGAGUAACUGUUCAGGUAUUGACGGUAUUUAACCAGAAAGCCACGGCUAACUACGUGCCAGCAGCCGCGGUAAUACGUAGGUGGCAAGCGUUGUCCGGAUUUAUUGGGCGUAAAGCGAGCGCAGGCGGUUUUUUAAGUCUGAUGUGAAAGCCUUCGGCUC